UACGGGGGGGGCAAGCGUUGUUCGGAAUUACUGGGCGUAAAGGGCUCGUAGGCGGCCAACUAAGUCAGACGUGAAAUCCCCUCGGCUUAACCGGGGGAACUGCGUCUGAUACUGGAUGGCUUGAGUUCGGGGAGAGGGAUGCGGAAUUCCAGGUGUAGCGGUGAAAAUGCGUAGAUAUCUGGAGGAACACCGGUGGCGAAGGCGGCAUCCUGGACCGAUACUGACGCUGAGGAGCGAAA
rnacentral:rRNA from 1 species